UUCUUGCCUGAAACCCUUUAAAACCUCGAGAAAUCUGCCCCUCUCAGAAAAUGCACACACGCAUGUGCAUGUUCCUCGACUCUUGCACACCAGGUCCACGGACCAUAGUAAAACUGGUGCUACACAAGGACGGCCGUGGCCACGUGAAUCCUGAAUCCUCAGCACCAGCACCACCUGGCUGGGAGUAGGCACCCAAUAAAUGUUGAGGGGUAGAUGAAUUAACGAGAGGUCCAUACCCCUCAAGGUAUGUUUCUUGCUCGGCAACAUGUUGAGCUACAAAAGGCACACUGUGUCCCAAGUGCCCUGAUAUAUCCAGGUAUGCCUUCCCUCCCCUCCUUUCAAAAAUACCAUUCUAAAUUCAUCCCGCUUCCUCCAUAAAUUAAGUCUCCAUCAUCUAGGGUCAACGUGUAUAGUUGUACAGGUUGUGCACUGUUACAGUACCAAGUGCCCAGCCAAAGAGGAGAGUACGAGCUGAAUCCAAGCUUGCCUGCCAGGGCCGGGCUGGGUCUGCCUUGAGGAAGAGGCACCAUUUGUUUGCAGUUACGUGCUUGCCAGAGGGAAGUAAUUAUAUUUUUUUAUAAUUCACUCAAGGAAGAAGUGCGGAGGAGCUGGGGGGCCUCCGGCAGGCGGCAAGAAUCCCUGGGGUGCUUUUCUCCAAAAUCCAGGUCAAGAGUUGAGGAAGAUGGACAUACGCCACCUAUUCAUUACGAUUUACAGUUGGAUCACAAUGGGGAACAUUCCGGAAAGAACAUUAACGACAGACAUGGAUUCCACGAGACUGUCGGAGUCUCUUCUAAUUCUUUCCUACACUGACCGCAGAGUGGCUGAGACGUGGGUGAGCCCAGGAGGCAGUGGAGAUGAAGCAGGAGCAGGGGCGGAGGCGCCGGACCUCAUGGGGGCCCAGCAGCGGGCAUGAGGCCCCCGGAGGGAGCAGCUGCCCCAUGGGGUCUGCAGCCCGGACCCUCCUCCUUCCACGGCCGCCUCUGCUCUUCUGGCUCCGGGUGAGGACGGCUUCCGCCCUCUGCCUACAGCCGCUCCUCCCCUGGUGCGGCGUCUACCCCUCUGUCAAGGGUUCUCUCGGGUCCUUCCCUUCGACGGACCGCAGGACAAGCAGGUCCCUCCAAGUUGAAGCAAAUGGUGGGUAUUUGGACGACGCUCUUCCUACGGCUGCAGUUGGAGGUGCUUCUCCUGUGUUUGCAUAAAGAGUGCAAAAAUGACAUCUUCUGCACAAAGACUUCUUGUUUCUCCCUGGUGGACGUCUCUCUGGGGCACGAACUGUUGAAUGGGGGAGCAUGGAUUCUUGGGGGGGACUCACGAUAUGUCAUAAGAGAUCUCACUUUGCUGCUUAUUUUAUUGUUUCUGGUAUCAUGUGGUUAAUACUUCCCACCAGUAAAAAAUUAUAAUAAUAAAAUUAAAAAAUAAAUAAAUAAAUAAAUAAAC
rnacentral:lncRNA from 12 species